GUAUGUGACCGGUGACCGAUCCCAUGUGAAACCCCUUCGACGAGUCGAGUUGUUUGGGAAUGCAGCUCAAAAUGGGUGGUAAAUUUCAUCUAAAGCUAAAUACUGGCUGGAGACCGAUAGCGCACAAGUAGAGUGAUCGAAAGAUGAAAAGCACUUUGGAAAGAGAGUCAAAAAGUACGUGAAAUUGUUGAAAGGGAAGCGCUUGCAACCAGACCUGUCCGCAGGUGAUCAGCCGCCGUUCUCGGUGGUGCACUCGCCUGCGAUCAGGCCAGCAUCGGUUCGGGCGGUCGGAUAAAGGCCUUGGGAAUGUAGCUCCUCUCGGGGAGUCUUAUAGCCCUCGGUGCAAUGCGGCCAGCCCGGACCGAGGACCGCGCUUCGGCUAGGAUGCUGGCGUAAUGGUUGUAAGCGACCCGUCUUGAAACACGGACCAAGGAGUCUAACAUCUAUGCGAGUGUUUGGGUGUCAAACCCAUGCGCGGAAUGAAAGUGAACGGAGGUGAGAACCCUUUAGGGCGCAUCAUCGACCGAUCCAGAUGUCUUCGGAUGGAUUUGAGUAUGAGCAUAGCUGUUGGGACCCGAAAGAUGGUGAACUAUGCCUGAAUAGGGUGAAGCCAGAGGAAACUCUGGUGGAGGCUCGCAGCGGU
rnacentral:rRNA from 1 species